UCUUGUGCAUAACGAAAGUAUGACACAGAGAGGACACAUUUAAUUGAGCCCGUCAAAUUAAGUGCCAGCCGACGCGGUUAAACUUAAGGGCUGGUCUUUAUAAGUAAAAAGGCGUAAAGGAUGUGUAGGCCAAGAAACGAUCCAAGUAGGUAAAUGGAAUUUUUCUGGAGCGGUAGAAUGUGAGGAUAGAAAAUAGAACCCCUAAGGUAAAAACUAUUUACUACAAGGUAGGCUGAAACAUGAGAGUGUGGGGAGCAAACAGGAUUAGAGACCCUGGUAGUCCACACUGUGAACUUUGAAGAUGAUGCUUAGCAGACCCGAAAGGUAAAAUCUUCCGCCUGAGUAGUACGAUCGCAAGAUUAAAAUUCAAAAACUUUGGCUGUUCACUAUUUCGAUUAGAGGAGCGUGUAGUUUAAUUCGAUGGUCCGCGUGUUACCUUACCCCAACUUGAAUCUGUGACCGGUAUUGCAUGGCCGUCGUAAGUUCGUGUAUUAAGCUAGAAGGGACCCAACCCGGGCACUUGCCCGGAGGAAGUCAGGUCUUAUGAUCCGAAUGUUGGGGGAUUUUAUGCGCUACAUUUUCUUAUAUAAUGAGAAACCUGGAAGGUGAAUCUCUAAAGUAAGAGUUCGGAAGGUCGCUGUAAGACGACUGGAAGUUGGAUUUAAUAGUAAUCGGAAAGUAGGGCGUUCCGGUGAAUUGGUACAAGUGUUAGCACAAAUUGCCCGUCACCUUUACUUAGAAUGGUAUUCGG
rnacentral:rRNA from 1 species